ACAAUCCUUGCUUACUUUCAAAUGUUAACCACGGUACAUAAGCAUAACUAACAGCUACUACUAGUCCAAAUGUAAAACGUUUGCUCUGGUUAAGUGGAUUGGCGGGGAGUAUGAGGGCAAAACCAGAAUUUUGCGGACUGACUGCAUUAGUAAACCUAGCGUUAAUGAGGAAGACUUUUUCAACGGCUCUGUAACAUUAUGGGACAACAUCUUGCUAGAAACUAUGUGGUGGAGGGGAGGAAGGCAGCCAAGAGGUAGUUUGGCCAUGGUGGUCAAAAUUGCUGAGAGGCAACACUAGAAAGCUACAUCAAGGACACCGGAGGAUGGACCAGAAGACCUGAGACCAAGACGACCCAAGCCCAACCCAUAGUAUGCUUCACUGACAAAUGUUGAUGCUUCAUCAUCACAUAGACCAAAGGUUUCAGAGAAGGCUGGUAGAGCUCUCUAUGAGUGUGAGCUGUGGGAGAUAACCAAGAACUGACAACCACCUAAGAAGAGGUGGCGAUAAUGGCUCUCCAAGAGGAGGUUAGGCCACCCUGAAGCAGUUCCCAGGCCAGACACUCACUCCAGAUUGCUGGGCCAGGCAAUAAAUGCCAAAGUGACAGAAUUGA